AUUGAACGCUGGCGGCAGGCCUAACACAUGCAAGUCGAGCGGAUGAAGGGAGCUUGCUCCUGGAUUCAGCGGCGGAAGGGUGAGUAAUGCCUAGGAAUCUGCCUGGUAGUGGGGGAUAACGUCCGGAAACGGGCGCUAAUACCGCAUACGUCCUGAGGGAGAAAGUGGGGGAUCUUCGGACCUCACGCUAUCAGAUGAGCCUAGGUCGGAUUAGCUAGUUGGUGGGGUAAAGGCCUACCAAGGCGACGAUCCGUAACUGGUCUGAGAGGAUGAUCAGUCACACUGGAACUGAGACACGGUCCAGACUCCUACGGGAGGCAGCAGUGGGGAAUAUUGGACAAUGGGCGAAAGCCUGAUCCAGCCAUGCCGCGUGUGUGAAGAAGGUCUUCGGAUUGUAAAGCACUUUAAGUUGGGAGGAAGGGCAGUAAGUUAAUACCUUGCUGUUUUGACGUUACCAACAGAAUAAGCACCGGCUAACUUCGUG
rnacentral:rRNA from 1 species